GCUUACGGCCAUACCAGCCUGAAUACGCCCGAUCUCGUCCGAUCUCGGAAGCUAAGCAGAAUAGGGACUGGUUAGUACCUGGAUGGGAGACCGCCUGGGAAUACCAGGUGCUGUAAACCUUUUAGCUGGACUUUAAUCUUGAUAGCUAUGAUUAAAUGCAACGAAAAACACAUGAUUUAAAUUCAUACAGUAGAAAACAACAAGACGAGGGUUCAACGACAGGAUGGAUCAUGGUUACAAGUUAUAAAGAAGGUGUACAGAGGACCAACUGUC
rnacentral:rRNA from 1 species